GAUGAACGCUAGCUACAGGCUUAACACAUGCAAGUCGAGGGGCAGCAUGAACUUAGCUUGCUAAGUUUGAUGGCGACCGGCGCACGGGUGAGUAACACGUAUCCAACCUGCCGAUGACUCGGGGAUAGCCUUUCGAAAGAAAGAUUAAUACCCGAUGGCAUAGUUCUUCCGCAUGGUAGAACUAUUAAAGAAUUUCGGUCAUCGAUGGGGAUGCGUUCCAUUAGGUUGUUGGCGGGGUAACGGCCCACCAAGCCUUCGAUGGAUAGGGGUUCUGAGAGGAAGGUCCCCCACAUUGGAACUGAGACACGGUCCAAACUCCUACGGGAGGCAGCAGUGAGGAAUAUUGGUCAAUGGACGAGAGUCUGAACCAGCCAAGUAGCGUGAAGGAUGACUGCCCUAUGGGUUGUAAACUUCUUUUAUACGGGAAUAAAGUGAGGCACGUGUGCCUUUUUGUAUGUACCGUAUGAAUAAGGAUCGGCUAACUCCGUGCCAGCAGCCGCGGUAAUACGGAGGAUCCGAGCGUUAUCCGGAUUUAUUGGGUUUAAAGGGAGCGUAGGCGGACGCUUAAGUCAGUUGUGAAAGUUUGCGGCUCAACCGUAAAAUUGCAGUUGAUACUGGGUGUCUUGAGUACAGUAGAGGCAGGCGGAAUUCGUGGUGUAGCGGUGAAAUGCUUAGAUAUCACGAAGAACUCCGAUUGCGAAGGCAGCCUGCUGGACUGUAACUGACGCUGAUGCUCGAAAGUGUGGGUAUCAAACAGGAUUAGAUACCCUGGUAGUCCACACAGUAAACGAUGAAUACUCGCUGUUUGCGAUAUACAGUAAGCGGCCAAGCGAAAGCGUUAAGUAUUCCACCUGGGGAGUACGCCGGCAACGGUGAAACUCAAAGGAAUUGACGGGGGCCCGCACAAGCGGAGGAACAUGUGGUUUAAUUCGAUGAUACGCGAGGAACCUUACCCGGGCUUGAAUUGCAACUGAAUGAUGUGGAGACAUGUCAGCCGCAAGGCAGUUGUGAAGGUGCUGCAUGGUUGUCGUCAGCUCGUGCCGUGAGGUGUCGGCUUAAGUGCCAUAACGAGCGCAACCCUUAUCGAUAGUUACCAUCAGGUUAUGCUGGGAACUCUGUCGAGACUGCCGUCGUAAGAUGUGAGGAAGGUGGGGAUGACGUCAAAUCAGCACGGCCCUUACGUCCGGGGCUACACACGUGUUACAAUGGGGGGUACAGAAGGCAGCUACACGGCGACGUGAUGCUAAUCCCGAAAGCCUCUCUCAGUUCGGAUUGGAGUCUGCAACCCGACUCCAUGAAGCUGGAUUCGCUAGUAAUCGCGCAUCAGCCACGGCGCGGUGAAUACGUUCCCGGGCCU
rnacentral:rRNA from 1 species